UAAACUGCAAUGGUUCAGAAAGUAAAUUACUGGAUUGUAACUUCAAUAACGUUACAGUACAAUGUGAUCACUAUGAUGAUGUCGACCUCUAUUGUUUUCUUAACUGUUCAACAGAAGAUGAAGGUGGUUUGCGUAUAAUUCCGGGUUACGCUAAGCAUCAAGGACGACUGGAAAUUAAGUAUAGAGGUGAAUGGGGAACAGUUUGUGAUUAUUACUUUGGGUAUGUUGAUGCAGAAGUAGCAUGUAGACAGCUCGGAUAUUGUUCUGGAAUCAUGCAGCCUGCAAAUCGUAUACGUAGUGGUUAUGGUGCCGUUUGGUUAAAUGACGUAAAUUGCUCUGGUUCAGAAAGUAAAUUACUGGAUUGUAAAUU